rnacentral:rRNA from 1 species
GAUGAACGCUGGCGGCGUGCCUAAUACAUGCAAGUCGAGCGAACAGACGAGGAGCUUGCUCCUCUGACGUUAGCGGCGGACGGGUGAGUAACACGUGGAUACCUACCUAUAAGACUGGGUUAACUUCGGGAAACCGGAGCUAAUACCGGAUAAUAUAUUGAACCGCAUGGUUCAAUAGUGAAAGACGGUUUUGCUGUCACUUAUAGAUGGAUCCGCGCCGCAUUAGCUAGUUGGUAAGGUAACGGCUUACCAAGGCGACGAUGCGUAGCCGACCUGAGAGGGUGAUCGGCCACACUGGAACUGAGACACGGUCCAGACUCCUACGGGAGGCAGCAGUAGGGAAUCUUCCGCAAUGGGCGAAAGCCUGACGGAGCAACGCCGCGUGAGUGAUGAAGGUCUUCGGAUCGUAAAACUCUGUUAUUAGGGAAGAACAAAUGUGUAAGUAACUAUGCACGUCUUGACGGUACCUAAUCAGAAAGCCACGGCUAACUACGUG